GUGCUUGUUUUGGCAGCACAUAUACUAAAAUUGGAACGAUACAGAGAAGAUUAGCAUGGCCCCUGUGCAAACAAACUAACAAAAAAAUAAAACACUGUACUU